rnacentral:rRNA from 1 species
GAUGAACGCUGGCGGCGUGCCUAAUACAUGCAAGUCGAGCGAACGGACGAGAAGCUUGCUUCUCUGAUGUUAGCGGCGGACGGGUGAGUAACACGUGGAUAACCUACCUAUAAGACUGGGAUAACUUCGGGAAACCGGAGCUAAUACCGGAUAAUAUUUUGAACCGCAUGGUUCAAAAGUGAAAGACGGUCUUGCUGUCACUUAUAGAUGGAUCCGCGCUGCAUUAGCUAGUUGGUAAGGUAACGGCUUACCAAGGCAACGAUGCAUAGCCGACCUGAGAGGGUGAUCGGCCACACUGGAACUGAGACACGAUCCAGACUCCUACGGGAGGCAGCAGUAGGGAAUCUUCCGCAAUGGGCGAAGGCCUGACGGAGCAACGCCGCGUGAGUGAUGAAGGUCUUCGGAUCGUAAAACUCUGUUAUUAGGGAAGAACAUAUGUGUAAGUAACUGUGCACAUCUUGACGGUACCUAAUCAGAAAGCCACGGCUAACUACGUG